UGGGGAAUAUUGCACAAUGGGCGGAAGCCUGAUGCAGCGACGCCGCGUGAGGGAUGACGGCCUUCGGGUUGUAAACCACUUUCAGUAGGGACGAAGCGUAAGUGACGGUACCUGCAGAAGAAGCACCGGCUAACUACGUGCCAGCAGCCGCGGUAAUACGUAGGGUGCGAGCGUUGUCCGGAAUUACUGGGCGUAAAGAGCUCGUAGGCGGUUUGUCACGUCGUCUGUGAAAUCCUAGGGCUUAACCCUGGACGUGCAGGCGAUACGGGCUGACUUGAGUACUACAGGGGAGACUGGAAUUUCUGGUGUAGCGGUGGAAUGCACAGAUAUCAGGAAGAACACCGAUGGCGAAGGCAGGUCUCUGGGUAGUAACUGACGCUGAGGAGCGAAAGCAUGGGUAGCGAACAGG
rnacentral:rRNA from 1 species